GUUCCAUUCUUUCCUUGUGACUCUGGCCAAGAUGGGAAGGAAGGUAUGGAAGAGAUCAUUGGGUAAGCAGGCGCCAGACUCCCCCCUGGUCCCCCAACUUCCCCAGACCAUUGAAUUCUUAUUCAUCAAAGAGAACACAGGGUGGGAUGGGCCACAUUAACAGUUGUGAUGUUGGGGCCACCUUGGUCUUCAAGGGUCACCUAAUCUCCUGCCUCUCCUAAUCCUUAGGGCCCCUGCCUAUGCCUCAUGUGCUCCAGGAAAGUGUCUUCUGUCCUAGUGUUUCCAGCCUUUGGGAUAGAUUUGCAUCUUCUGACUCCCAAUCCCUGGAUGGCCUUCCAUACUUUGGGAACUCUCAAUCCUUUAGGCAAUAGAAUCUGUGGACAGAAAGAGAUAGAUCAAUAGCCCAAAUUCUAACUCCCCCCACUUCCCUGCCCUGAACCCUUACAAUUUGUUCCUCUUUCCAUUCCCAGCUGACCAAGAGCAUGCUGGCUUCCAGCAAACACCCCAUUCCUGCCCAGAGGAUUGGUCCCUUGCAGUAGUAGCUGAGAGAGAGGCUCUUUCGAUCUCUAGGAGGAAUAGCACAGAGAUCAGGCCUGAGCCUGAGGCUUCUUGGGACUUGCAAGUGUCCCCGCUGGGUAAUUCAGCCAUUCGAAAACCAGCCCUGGAAAGAAUGAGGUUCUGAGGAGAUCAGAGAUGCUACAGCUGCCGACGUUCUCCCAUCACUGUAGUUCUCUCAAGAAACUUCAGCUCAGUAGUCCCUCCGGCCAGACCUUUGAGCAAUGUCCCUUAGGGUCCUCGGUGUCCUGCCUACUCACCUUGUAAGCUAUCUUCCACAUCUAUUCCCAGCCCUGUGGUCCUCAACUCAUGUUUGCUGAGUCCUAAUUUGCUCUGGAGCUGCUCCCAUGCAAAGAAUGACUGACUGCAUCUAACCUUCCAUGCUUCCCAGCACCCUUAUUGGAUCUUCCUUCCCUUUUGCCACUUCCACCAGGAUCCUGGAGGGAAUCCAGCAUCAUGGGAAGACAAAGAAAAGGCUGGUAUAGCCCAUGGGAGACCUCUCAGAACAACACAAAUCUGUAAGACUGCAAUGAGGCGGGCUGGAGAGAUGGCUCAGCGAUUAAGAGCACCCGACUACUCUUCCAGAGGUCCUGAGUUCA
rnacentral:sRNA from 1 species